rnacentral:tRNA from 1 species
GUUCCGGUAGCUCAGUCGGGAGAGCAUCGCGUCGACAUCGCGAGGGUCGCUGGUUCGAGUCCAGCUCGGAACAC